AGAUAGAUAGAUAGAGAGGGAUGGAUGGAUGGACAGAUGGACAGGCAGAUAAAUGGAUAGACAGACAUGUGUAUAAGAAGAUAUUGGUUUAAAAUAUUGUGAAAUGCAUAUGAAUCUUCAAAAAUUGUCAAUUUUUAUUUUUUCAACAUAAGGUUCCUUAUGGAAAAGGUAGCAUGGAGACUUCUUUAACACUGAGAACCUUAGAACUGAAUAGACACAAAAUCACAAGGAACUUUAAAUUGUAAUGUGAUUUCCUGACAUAGAAUCAGAAACCUUCACACACUUCUGUGAAGCCAGACAUCUUUGAAGGAUACAGAGGACACACAGCUAUCAAUAUAUAGGACACUUACUUGUCUUGGUUAAUAUGACUCUUUUUGACCUGUGUCAGCUCUUUGAAAGUCUGUCCAAAGUGAGCAGUGGGGUGAACAAUGGCGGCAGCAUCUUUAGGUAUCUGGAUCCAACCAUCAGGAGCUCUAAGCACUGACCCGCAAUGGCUGCCUGCCUCAGUUUGCACACCAGAUGGAUGCCAGUGCUGGUCUCUGUCAGGAAAGUACACAGAUUUCCUAAUGGUGCUUUCAACAUUAGUUCCUAUUAGAGUAUGUAACUGAAGAGGUAUCAGAGAUAACUCUUAUGUUUCUUUAACGUGAUAGAUGUUCCUCAUAUUUUUCUAAAUUUAGAAAUAUCUUGAACAUUGUGCCAUGUAAAGUAUUGAUUAUCGUUCAUGUGCAUGUUUUAACUUCUGCGAUUUAUUUAUUGACUUUUAAAGCUUCUAAUUUCAACACUAACUUCCAAACGGCAACAGAAGAAAAGUAAAACAACAUUAGUGGCAGAAGAAUAAUUUGGAUCAUGUGCGUUGGAAUAGAGGUACUGAACAGAACCACUCGAGUGGGAAGGGCCCAGGUCACCAUCAAGGAGACUAAAGCUGGGGUAGGAAGAGCAUGAGACGGUCUCAGAGGUAUUGGGCCUGUACUGGGAAGAUCUUUUCAGAUACCCCUGGAAUGCUCUGAACUCACAGGCGGGGGAUUUACAAGUGGGACUCUUUAUCCUGGUAGCUAGAUGUGGAAAUGGCACUUCCAAGUCCUAUUUGGGGAUGGCUUGCCCAGGGAGCUUGGCUCAGUGGAGUGUAGAAUGAAUGCCAACAUUAACAAUACUUCUGGUCCAAGUGCAAAUGUCUCCAUCAAGUUCUCAAAAAAUCCUUUUAUGGUCCAUCUGUUUGGACACACCCUGGUUCCAAACCUUGUUUUGCCUCAGGACCCACAUUCUUAGAAACUUGCUAGCUUGCUGAAGACUUGGCCUGCUUCUGCCUUCUGUUCUGCAACACUGACUGGAUGCUAAGAUUCAUUCUUUGGCUCUGUGACACUUGAGCCUUUGCAAAAUAUAUUAUGUUUAUUCACGCCCCCCUC
rnacentral:sRNA from 1 species